GAGAUGGCCGAGUGGUCGAAGGCGGUAGACUCGAAAUCUAUUGUACGUUUGCGCGUACCGGGGGUUAAGCAAGCUUUAAUAUCAGUUAGUUGAGGCUGUAUAGCUACUAAAGAAGCAAGCCUUUAAGCCUCA
rnacentral:tRNA from 1 species